rnacentral:rRNA from 1 species
AACGAACGCUGGCGGCAGGCUUAACACAUGCAAGUCGAGCGCCCCGCAAGGGGAGCGGCAGACGGGUGAGUAACGCGUGGGAAUCUACCCUUUUCUACGGAAUAACGCAGGGAAACUUGUGCUAAUACCGUAUAAGCCCUUCGGGGGAAAGAUUUAUCGGGAAAGGAUGAGCCCGCGUUGGAUUAGCUAGUUGGUGGGGUAAAGGCCUACCAAGGCGACGAUCCAUAGCUGGUCUGAGAGGAUGAUCAGCCACAUUGGGACUGAGACACGGCCCAAACUCCUACGGGAGGCAGCAGUGGGGAAUAUUGGACAAUGGGCGCAAGCCUGAUCCAGCCAUGCCGCGUGAGUGAUGAAGGCCCUAGGGUUGUAAAGCUCUUUCACCGGUGAAGAUAAUGACGGUAACCGGAGAAGAAGCCCCGGCUAACUUCGUGCCAGCCGCCGCCGUAACAC